rnacentral:rRNA from 1 species
UGAGGAAUAUUGCGCAAUGGGGGAAACCCUGACGCAGCGACGCCGCGUGAGUGAGGAAGGCCUUCGGGUCGUAAAGCUCUGUCAAGAGGAAAGAAGUGCGUGGUGGCUAAUACCUGCCAUGUUUGACGGUACCUCUAAAGGAAGCACCGGCUAACUCCGUGCCAGCAGCCGCGGUAAUACGGAGGGUGCAAGCGUUGUUCGGAAUCACUGGGCGUAAAGGGCGCGCAGGCGGUUUGGUAAGUCAGAUGUGAAAGCCCACGGCUUAACCGUGGAAGUGCAGUUGAUACUGUCAGACUUGAGUACCGGAGGGGAAAGUGGAAUUCCCGGUGUAGAGGUGAAAUUCGUAGAUAUCGGGAGGAAUACCGGUGGCGAAGGCGACUUUCUGGCUGAGUACUGACGCUGAGGCGCGAAAGCGUGGGGAGCAAACA